GAAGGUGUUAUCUCUGUGUUCUACUGAUCUGAAGGUGUUCUCUCUCUCUGUGUUCUACUGAUCUGAAUGUGUUCUCUCUCUCUGUGUUCUACUGAUCUGAAGGUGUUCUCUCUCUCUCUGUGUUCUACUGAUCUGAAGGUGUUAUCUCUGUGUUCUACUGAUCUGAAGGUGUUCUCUCUCUCUGUGUUCUACUGAUCUGAAGCUGUUCUCUCUCUCUCUCUCUCUGUGUUCUACUGAUCUGAAGGUGUUCUCUCUCUCUGUGUUCUACUGAUCUGAAGGUGUUCUCUCUCUCUCUCUCUCUGUGUUCUACUGAUCUGAAGGUGUUCUCUCUCUCUCUCUCUGUGUUCUACUGAUCUGAAGGUGUUCUCUCUCUCUCUCUCUCUCUGUGUUCUACGAAUCUGAAGGUGUUCUCUCUCUCUCUCUCUGUGUUCUACUGAUCUGAAGGUGUUCUCUCUCUCUGUGUUCUACUGAUCUGAAGGUGUUCUCUCUCUCUCUCU
ensembl:lncRNA